rnacentral:rRNA from 1 species
UUCCGGUUGAUCCUGCCGGACCUGACUGCUAUCGGAUUGAUACUAAGCCAUGCGAGUCUUUGUAGUAAUACAAGGCAUACGGCUCAGUAACGCGUAGUCAACCUACCCUAUGGACAAGAAUAAUCUCGGGAAACUGAGCAUAAUUCUUGAUAGAUCAUAAUGCCUGGAAUGGUUUAUGGUUAAAAUGAUUCGUCGCCAUAGGAUGGGACUGCGGCCUAUCAGCUUGUUGGUGAGGUAAUGGCCCACCAAGGCGAUUACAGGUACGGGCUCUGAGAGGAGAAGCCCGGAGAUGGGUACUGAGACAAGGACCCAGGCCCUAUGGGGCGCAGCAGGCGAGAAAACUUUGCAAUGUGCGAAAGCAAGACAAGGUUAGUCCGAGUGAUUUCUGCUAAAGAGAUCUUUUGCUAGUCAUAAAACCACUAGUGAAUAAGGGGUGGGCAAGUUCUGGUGUCAGCCGCCGCGGUAAAACCAGCACCUCAAGUGGUCAGGAUGAUUAUUGGGCCUAAAGCAUCCGUAGCCGGCUCUGUAAGUUUUCGGUUAAAUCUAUGCGCUCAACGUAUGGGCUGCCGAAAAUACUGCAGAGAUAGGGAGUGGGAGAGGUAGACGGUACUCGGUAGGAAGGGGUAAAAUCCUUUGAUCUAUCGAUGACCACCUGUGGCGAAGGCGGUCUACCAGAACACGUUCGACGGUGAGGGAUGAAAGCUGGGGGAGCAAACCGGAUUAGAUACCCGGGUAGUCCCAGCUGUAAACGAUGCAGACUCGAUGAUGCAUUGGCAUAUAGCCAGUGCAGUGUCGCAGGGAAGCCGUUAAGUCUGCCGCCUGGGAAGUACGUACGCAAGUAUGAAACUUAAAGGAAUUGGCGGGGGAGCACCACAAGGGGUGAAGCCUGCGGUUCAAUUGGAUUCAACGCCGGG